rnacentral:rRNA from 1 species
GACGAACGCUGGCGGCAGGCCUAACACAUGCAAGUCGAGCGAGCGGCGGACGGGUGAGUAAUGUAUGGGGAUCUGCCCGAUAGAGGGGGAUAACUACUGGAAACGGUGGCUAAUACCGCAUACUAUCGGAUGUACCCAUAUGGGAUUAGCUAGUAGGUGGGGUAAAGGCCUACCAAGGCGACGAUCCGUAACUGGUCUGAGAGGAUGAUCAGUCACACUGGAACUGGGACACGGUCCAGACUCCUACGGUAGGCAGCAGUGGGGAAUAUUGCACAAUGGGCGCAAGCCUGAUGCAGCCAUGCCGCGUGUAUGAAGAAGGCCUUCGGGUUGUAAAGUACUUUCAGCGAGGAGGCGUUACUCGCAGAAGAAGCACCGGCUAACUCCGUGCCAGCAGCCGCGGUAAUUC